rnacentral:rRNA from 1 species
GAUGAACGCUGGCGGCGUGCUUAACACAUGCAAGUCGAACGAACUGAGGAGAGCUUGCUCUCCAAAGUUAGUGGCGGACGGGUGAGUAACGCGUGGGUAACCUACCCUAUGCAGGGGGAUAACGUUUGGAAAUGAACGCUAAUACCGCAUAAACUAUCGAGUUUCGCAUGAAACUUAUAGCAAAGAUGCAGACUUUAGUCUGUUUUCGGCAUAGGAUGGACCCGCGUUGGAUUAGCUAGUUGGUGAGAUAAUAGCCCACCAAGGCGACGAUCCAUAGCCGGCCUGAGAGGGUGAACGGCCACAUUGGGACUGAGACACGGCCCAAACUCCUACGGGAGGCAGCAGUGGGGAAUAUUGCACAAUGGGCGCAAGCCUGAUGCAGCAACGCCGCGUGAAGGAUGAAGGUCUUCGGAUUGUAAACUUCUAUCAGUAGGGAAGAAUAAAUGACGGUACCUAACUAAGAAGCUCCGGCUAACUACGUGCCAGCAGCCGCGGUAAUACGUAGGGAGCAAGCGUUAUCCGGAUUUACUGGGUGUAAAGGGUGCGUAGGCGGCUUGUUAAGUCAGAAGUGAAAUUUCGGGGCUCAACCCCGGAGCUGCUUCUGAAACUGGCGAGCUAGAGUGUGGGAGAGGAAAGUGGAACUUUGAGUGUAGCGGUGAAAUGCGUAGAGAUUCAAAGGAACACCAGUAGCGAAGGCGGCUUUCUGGACCAUAACUGACGCUGAGGCACGAAAGCGUGGGGAGCAAACAGGAUUAGAUACCCUGGUAGUCC